GAUGAACGCUAGCUACAGGCUUAACACAUGCAAGUCGAGGGGAAACGAUAUUCGAAGCUUGCUUCCGAUAGGCGUCGACCGGCGCACGGGUGAGUAACGCGUAUCCAACCUGCCCAUCACUUGGGGAUAACCUUGCGAAAGUAAGACUAAUACCCAACGACGUCUCUAGAAGACAUCUGAAAGAGAUUAAAGAUUUAUCGGUGAUGGAUGGGGAUGCGUCUGAUUAGCUUGUUGGCGGGGUAACGGCCCACCAAGGCGACGAUCAGUAGGGGUUCUGAAAGGAAGGUCCCCCACAGUUGAACUGUGACACGGUCCAAACUCCUACGGGAGGCAGCAGUGAGGAAUAUUGGUCAAUGGACGAGAGUCUGAACCAGCCAAGUAGCGUGCAGGAUGACGGCCCUAUGGGUUGUAAACUGCUUUUAUAAGGGAAUAAAGUGAGAGUCGUGACUCUUUUUGCAUGUACCUUAUGAAUAAGGACCGGCUAAUUCCGUGCCAGCAGCCGCCGUAA
rnacentral:rRNA from 1 species